ACAUUUAUUAUGGAUUACUAAGCUUUUCAUUCUCUGCUCAUGCUCUGGUCCCACCUGUAUCCGUCAGACUCUUGUUCAACUACAACUCUCCUCAGCAGGACAUAAGACAUAGCUAAAGGUUCUUCUUUAGAGAAACCUGAAACUUGUUGGGUGUAAUUUGUGUAAAUCGCCACCAGCUGGCAGUAGAUUUUUAAUUGACUUAAGGGCAAAUGUAAUUAAAAAUCGCAAGCAGCGUUUUUGCAAACGUUUCGGCUGCUCACAAUAUAAACUCAUUCGCUGGCGAAUACUACAUGGAUAAGCAAAGGUUUAGCGUUAACACCUACUCUACAGUUUCACUAAAUAUUUCGUAGCAAAACACAGUUUGCGAUUGCGGAAUUUUAUUGCACUACGAAUGUUCGCAUAAAAGCCACUGGGUCGCCAACUUUGCGAGGAAGUUGUUGAGGUCUGUGAUCUGUCAAUCAAAUACAAGCUCAAGACGUUAAUUGUGUGCAGGUGAAUUUCCAUGGUUUGAGGCUGAUCAAAAAGUAAGAAGCAGCAGGCCGGAUACUUCAGACAUUCCAGAUACAAUCAGCCUUGAGCACAAGGACACAAGUUUACGCUUCUCACCGCAGCCAGACGCGUGAUACAAAAGCCACAACAAGGAAACGAAUUACGAUUGUUUUUGAAGUUUUUUUUAUUUAAUAAAUAACUUUCCGUUAACAGUAUUGUAAAAAGUGAAAACCUGCUAAAAUAAAAAGGCACUUAAAAAAACAAGAUUGUGACAAAUAUGGGACAGAGGCCAUGGAAAUAGUCGGCGAGUGAUCUACUGAAUGGCCCGAUGUUACAGCAAUGUCUUUGCUGAAAGGCUUUACAUGACAAUGCUGUGGUGUAAGUUCAACCAGGGCACAAACUGAAUGUAAACGGCAGAUUGCCGAUGUACAUAAACCGACAGCAGAACAAAAGGAUUAAAGGGGAACUAAGGCAAAAACGAAAAUUUAAUAUGAGCUUCGUCAUACUGAAAUAAGAAGUUUUAUAUAUACAAUCUAUGAUAUAUUCUGUACUGUUUCUGAAAUAAUCAAGUUUAUCUUCACUAUUCCUCUCUCAGCAUCUGUUUCUCUUCAUUCUCGAGUUGGGUGUCAGAUGAAUGAUCCAAUAUAUCUUAUUCGGGAGCGCCACAUUAAUUGCUCACUAGGCUCGGUGGCCCGGUUCUGGCCCACGGCCCCACGGUUGGGGACCCCUGUAUUAGAGCUCACUCAAAUAACUGAUUCCAUUACAAACAAAAUCUAAUAAAAUAACUGUCUUUUCCACAAACUCUGCAUGUAGAGAGACAUAAUGUCUGGUGAUUUGAAUAGAGUGAGCUCUAAUACAUCUUCUAGGCAAAAGGAACCCCCCUAUAAGAUAUAUUGGAUCAUUCAUCUGACACCCAACUGCUGCAUGAAGACAAAAUGAAGAGAAACAGAUGCUGAGAGAGGAAUAGUGACGAUAAACUUGAUUAUUUCAGAAACUAUGUGGAAUAUUUAAUUGAUUGUAUUUAGAAAAAAUUCUUAUUUCAGUAUGUUGAAGCUUAUAUUGAGGGUCAGAUUUGUUUGGUCAAAACUCCGAAGACGAUUUGAGUUUUAAUUUGAAUUCAGAGAUUUAUCAUACUCUGGCCCUUUAAGAACUUGAAUUCAACUAUUCGCCUACUAAAACCUGACAAAUUAUUGUAUAAGUCAAUAGGACAGGUCCAUGGAUCAAUUUGGUGAUGUGUGCAGCCUUCCUGGCAUUCCAGUUUUUUUCUGAUAAAAAAAAUAAAAAAAACUUGAAUUGAGUUUUUACAUUUGAAUCGAGUUUUUCUGAUUCGAUUUUAGUUUUCGGGUCGAUUCAAUUCUUCCGAACCAAGAAAAUUGCAUUUUAUUUAAACGUUUUGAUUGGUCGAAUUUAUGGAAGUAAAAUAAAAAAAACAAAAACUCGCAUGAAUUCGAAAUUCGACCCUUGAUAAAUGUGCCUCCAAAUGUUUAUUUUCGUGAUAGUUCCCUUUAAUGAAAAAAAAGAAAAAAAAAAGGAAGCACCAGAUUUCCGAAGUACAUACACAUAAUCGGUCGUAAGGAGAUUUAAGGCCAUGUGAGGAGGUGAUUUUUGGCAAGAUACAGAAGUCAGGCAGCAAAACGAUAUCGAGCUGGAAUUUAGCAUCUAAGAAGCAAGCUCACGGCCCAUCUAUUUAUUAUGUACAUUAUUUAUAAAAUACUUUGCCUUUUCUUACUUACUCACACCUGCUUUGUCUUUGCCCAAAGACACAUAGAGACCUGCUGAUCACGCAGAGAGAAAGUCUCACGUAUGCGAUGUUACUCGCGUGUAAAUUCCAGCCCUGAUCGUCCAAUGGUGAAAGGAAUAAGAAUAAUAACAAUAAUACUCUGAUUGGCAAAGCUCUUAGCGAUCAAACCUUCUCCUUGCAGACGGACUCGCAAUAACGCACACAAGCACGCGCACAAUUAAACAAAAGAAAAAAAAAUUACACCAAGAGGAAAACGUUUUUUUUUUUUUUUUU